CGUAGAGAAAUCGAGUCUUAAUAGGGCGUUUAGUUGCUGGGUAUAGACCCGAAACCAGGCGAUCUAUCCAUGAGCAGGUUGAAGGUUGGGUAACACUAACUGGAGGACCGAACCCACUGUCGUUGAAAAGCCAGGGGAUGACUUGUGGAUAGGGGUGAAAGGCUAAUCAAGCCUGGUGAUAGCUGGUUCUCCCCGAAAGCUAUUUAGGUAGCGCCUCGGACGAAUACCAUAGGGGGUAGAGCACUGUUUCGGCUAGGGGGUCAUCCCGACUUACCAAACCGAUGCAAACUCCGAAUACCUAUGAGUACUAUCCGGGAGACAGACUGCGGGUGCUAACGUCCGUAGUCAAGAGGAAAACAAUCCAGACCGCCAGCUAAGGCCCCAAAAUCAUAGUUAAGUGGGAAACGAUGUGGGAAGGCAUAGACAGCUAGGAGGUUGGCUUAGAAGCAGCCACCCUUUAAAGAAAGCGUAAUAGCUCACUAGUCGAGUCGGCCUGCGCGGAAGAUGUAACGGGGCUAAAACUAUGUGCCGAAGCUGCGGAUGUAUACUUUGUAUACGUGGUAGGGGAGCGUUCUGUAAGCCGAUGAAGGUGUGUUGAGAAGCAUGCUGGAGGUAUCAGAAGUGCGAAUGCUGACGUGAGUAACGACAAAACGGGUGAAAAACCCGUUCGCCGAAAGACCAAGGGUUCCAGUCCAACGUUAAUCGGGGCUGGGUGAGUCGACCCCUAAGGCGAGGCCGAAAGGCGUAGUCGAUGGGAAAAUGGUUAAUAUUCCAUUACUUCUGUGUAAUGCGAUGAGAGGACGGAGAAGGCUAAAUCAGCCUGGCGUUGGUUGUCCAGGUGAAAGGAUGUAGGCAUGUAUCUUAGGCAAAUCCGGGGUACUCUAUGCUGAGAUCUGAUAGCAAGCUGUACUUGUACAGCGAAGUGGUUGAUGCCAUGCUUCCAGGAAAAGUCUCUAAGCUUCAGUUACACAGGAAUCGUACCCGAAACCGACACAGGUGGUCAGGUCGAGUAGACCAAGGCGCUUGAGAGAACUCUGCUGAAGGAACUAGGCAAAAUGGUACCGUAACUUCGGGAGAAGGUACGCUGUUGUUGGUGAUGGAACUCGCUUCCUGAGCUGACGACAGCCGCAGAAACCAGGCCGCUGCAACUGUUUAUUAAAAACAUAGCACUCUGCAAACACGAAAGUGGACGUAUAGGGUGUGAUGCCUGCCCGGUGCUGGAAGGUUAAUUGAUGGGGUUAGCGUAAGCGAAGCUCUUGAUCGAAGCCCCAGUAAACGGCGGCCGUAACUAUAACGGUCCUAAGGUAGCGAAAUUCCUUGUCGGGUAAGUUCCGACCUGCACGAAUGGCAUAAUGAUGGCGGCGCUGUCUCCAGCAGAGGCUCAGUGAAAUCGAAAUCGCUGUGAAGAUGCAGUGUACCCGCGGCUAGACGGAAAGACCCCGUGAACCUUUACUGCAGCUUGACACUGAACUUUGACCUUACUUGUGUAGGAUAGGUGGGAGGCUUUGAAGCUGGAACGCUAGUUCCAGUGGAGCCGUCCUUGAAAUACCACCCUGGUAAUGUUGAGGUUCUAACUCUGUCCCGUGAUCCGGGACGAGGACCGUGUCUGGUGGGUAGUUUGACUGGGGCGGUCUCCUCCUAAAGAGUAACGGAGGAGUACGAAGGUGCGCUCAGCGUGGUCGGAAAUCACGCGUAGAGUAUAAAGGCAAAAGCGCGCUUAACUGCGAGACCCACAAGUCGAGCAGGUACGAAAGUAGGUCUUAGUGAUCCGGUGGUUCUGUAUGGAAGGGCCAUCGCUCAACGGAUAAAAGGUACUCUGGGGAUAACAGGCUGAUACCGCCCAAGAGUUCAUAUCGACGGCGGUGUUUGGCACCUCGAUGUCGGCUCAUCUCAUCCUGGGGCUGAAGCAGGUCCCAAGGGUAUGGCUGUUCGCCAUUUAAAGAGGUACGCGAGCUGGGUUUAGAACGUCGUGAGACAGUUCGGUCCCUAUCUACCGUGGGCGCUGGAAAUUUGAGAGGAUCUGCUCCUAGUACGAGAGGACCAGAGUGGACGAACCUCUGGUGUACCGGUUGUGACGCCAGUCGCAUCGCCGGGUAGCUAUGUUCGGAAGGGAUAACCGCUGAAAGCAUCUAAGCGGGAAGCCUACCUCAAGAUAAGAUUUCCCUAGGACUUUAUGUCCUCUAAAGAGCCGUUCGAGACUAGGACGUUGAUAGGUUGGAUGUGGAAGCAUAGUGAUAUGUGAAGCUGACCAAUACUAAUUGCUCGUGAGGCUUGACUAUACAACACCCAAGCAGUUG
rnacentral:rRNA from 1 species